GAUGAACGCUAGCGACAGGCCUAAUACAUGCAAGACGAACGGUAAGAUUGGUAGCAAUAUUGAUCCUAGAGUGUCGUAAGGGUGCGUAACACGUAUGCAAUCUGCCCUCAACAGGAGGAUAGCUCCCCGAAAGGGGAAUUAACACUCCAUAAGAUUGUGGUGUGGCAUCACACAGCAAAUUAAAACUACGGUGGUUGAGGAUGAGCAUGCGCAUGAUUAGUUAGUUGGCGGGGUAAUGGCCCACCAAGACGAUGAUCAGUUAGGGGAACUGAGAGGUUGACUCCCCCACACUGGCACUGAGAUACGGGCCAGACUCCGUACGGGAGCAGCAGUAGGGAA
rnacentral:rRNA from 1 species